rnacentral:rRNA from 1 species
AGCAGUCGCCACGGUAAUACGUAGGUGGCAAGCGUUGUCCGGAAUUAUUGAGCGUAAAGGGCUCGCAGGCGGUUUCUUAAGUCUGAUGUGAAAGCCCCCGGCUCAACCGGGGAGGGUCAUUGGAAACUGGGAAACUUGAGUGCAGAAGAGGAGAGUGGAAUUCCACGUGUAGCGGUGAAAUGCGUAGAGAUGUGGAGGAACACCAGUGGCGAAGGCGACUCUCUGGUCUGUAACUGACGCUGAGGAGCGAAAGCGUGGGGAGCGAACAGGAUUAGAUACCCCUGUAGUCCCUGUCUCUUAUAC